ACCAGAAACAAUGACAUCCUUUGCUUGCUUGCUGGAGUUGGAAGUCAGAGAUGUUGGACACUGCCCCCACCCCACCAGGGCCUGGAGGGUCAACCACAGCUUUGGGUGUAUGGUUGAGGCCAAAUACUUUGCCCCAGAACAGCAUUAUAGGCCCCUCAGGCUCCCUGAAGUCACUGGGGACCAGGAGAGUGCUCCUCCAGGCUUGAGUCCUGAAUUUGUUCAUGCUCUGUGUUGAUCUGGUCCUCAAGGUGAAGUGUGUCGUUCUCAGAAGCGCUUAGGAAAAGAACAAGUGAUGUUUGCAGGAAGCCUGAGACAGUGGAUGAAGAGGAGGAAGAGCCUGGCAGGGUCCAGAUAAUCCAACUCAAGGUCCAGAAACCAAGUCAAGAUGAAAAGGGGACCAGAAGCAGAAAAAAAAAAAAAAAAAAAAAAAAAACAGAAGUUCGAGAGUGAAACUAAGACCGACUGGGGAAGACCUUGACCUCACACUGAAGUGGAGUCCUCUCUGACCUUGGCCCAAGAUGCCCUUCUCGGAACCUCUGCUGGAUGCCCAGUGUGAAGACACAAGGACCAGCACGCUCCUCAGUGCCUCCUGUGGAUCUCUGAAGGUAGAGACCACGGCUUCUGCCCUUCUUUUCUAGCCUACAGAGAAAAGGGCCCGUAGGUCUCUGCAGAGACACACGGAAGACAGCGUAUGACCUCUGGACUUCGGCACUAGCCAGGUGCAAAUGUUUCCCUUCGGUUAUCAGACUUCCCAUUGGCUGCCGUCAAUCAUCUGGUCCAGCUGGGUUCCAAUGUUCAUUUUCUGUGUGGCAGUGAGUAAGAGCGUCGUCGUUUUCCAUUGGCACAGGAAAUGAGAGGCACCAGCAGGAAUUGGAUCAGAAUACUUUAAUAAGAUAUCAGUGUCAAAAUACAUUUCCUUAUAAAGUUAAGCUCCCGUACAGUUAUAAUGUCAUCAGUAGGAAUUUGACAACGCAAUAAUAUUCAUGAAGUUGUUACAUGGACAGGGAAGGGUUAAUAUGAAGCUCGGAGUAUUUCUCAGAGUGUUUUCAGUUAAACUGCAAAGGGAAAAUGCCCGUAAUGCUGAGGCGACAACACAAGAAAUCAAAUACCAGCAGUCACCUGUCAAUAACCCUUCAAGUUCCGUCACCGUGCGUCAGGCCACACCGCGCACCGACGUGCGACUUGGACAACACCGUGCCUAGGUCAUUUUAGGUAGAUUGACUUUGACAGUUUAUUUUUGGUUUGGGCAGUAAGUCUCUUUAGGCUUACUGUGUUCUGGCCUGAUGGGCUUUGUGUGUCUUUAAAGUUUUAUUGUACCCAAGUGAGCAACAUCUUAUGUUGAUUGGUAUCACACACCCCAAAGGUGGCCUCCCUCUUCCCCAGUGAGUUACAAAGUGCUCUGGGAAUACUAUUUUCAGUGCUUUCUACCUAUUCACGUCACUUCAUGUGACAGAGACCUCCGCUAGAGGCUGUCCCCAGAGGUCUGCCUGCUGCUUGCCCGCAGGGGGGCGCUACACCUAGGCUUGGCAGGGCCAUCUGCCCUGCAAGCUGCGGGUGUGGCGGGGUGCAGGGCUGGUCAGACCUGGCACCGGCUCCGAGUUUAGCUCCAAGGACCGGGUCACUGUAUUAUUCGUGGAUCCCCACUUGCUUUGUGAAUCCCCAUUCAGACCAUCUCAUGGUGGCUGUGGAAAUACCCAAACGUGCCGCAUGAGGGAGACAGGUAGAGUCACAUAGCUCAGUGCGCUUGAAGGGCGAGGAACACGACCUGAAAAAAGGGAAAAGCGCCUCCUUCCCAUCCCCGACACGUCCCCGAGCCCUCGUGGCGGCAGUCACAAUGCAUACGUACAGAAUACACAGAGAAGAUGAGAGAAGACAGCUUGCCUUGCUUGCCUUAGUGGCUCCACUCCCGGGAUUGUUUGCCACACCCAUGGCACGUCACAAAAGCAAAAAGUCACCAGAGAGAGAAAGAGAGAGAGAGAGGAAAAGAGAUCUGUAGCGGUGUUAGUACAGGCCUGUGGGAGUACUAUACAGUUCUACAGUGUCCAGAACACUGAGAAAAAUAAAAUCAACAGCCCUAAACAGAUCUUAAAAGUGAUUUUGUGAGCAGGCUUCCAUUUCUAAGUUUUUAGAUAUUAUAAAGUACCCCAUAUAUAUGAUAAACACUAAACCCAGAUAUAAAUUUUCCUUUAAAAAAAAAAACCCUCAGUUUUACUUUUGAGUAAUA